rnacentral:tRNA from 1 species
CUCGUAGCUUACAUACUAAAAGCAUAGCACUGAAGAUGCUAAGACGCUGCACCUGCACCCAAGGAC